UUAAUAUAAACGAAUAUCCCUCGUAUAUACCUUGAAUAUGGCAAGGAGUAUCUACCGGAAACCAUUAAAUUUCCGACUAUGAGUGGCUUUGAUGUGGUG
rnacentral:ncRNA from 2 species